AUUCCCGCGCAACUUUGUUGGGAUGCAGCUCCCGCGGCUGGCUCCCGAGUCUGCGAAAUGCCUCGAAACGAAUAGCGGAGCACUUGGCGGCUAAAAUACAGAAGGUCAAUGAGGCCAGAAUCGAGACGGCCGCAAAUAAAUGGCUAUUUAAUAAAUAGCUACAAAAAAAUAACAGUUACCGAACGAACACUGCACGUGACAAACGGCCCGGUUUUUGAAAGCUGUGCGCGUGUGGAACAGCUCGGUUACCGACCCGCUGUAAGGCAAGCUGGCCGCAUCCACAGCUCGAGUGACAGAAAGAUAACCUCCGAGAGGCAGACGGCCCGAAAUACUGCCCCCGCCGCCUGAAUUAUUCUCUUCAGACAGACCGGCAGAGGCGCCCGUCCGCCUGAAAGGGACCGCGGCGUGAGUGGAAUUUAUUCGCCGCGUAUAUCAAGCUUCUCCCCGCCGUGAGCCGCGUCCCGUGACCCGCUACGCACUCCCAUGUCUCAAGACCUGCCUUUCCCUCCGGCGAAAGAAUGAGAAAGCCUGGAAUGCGUUAAGCUCGACUUAUUAUUAUUUACUAUCAUUUCAUUCAGUUUGUGACGGUAAUGUGUGAGUAAGCAGCGGGAGAAUCGAGCGGGCUACCCGCAGUGAAAACACCGCGUCCUUUUCCACACUUUUUUUUUAUAGACCGUCCAGCUGGCAUUAAAAUAACAACAGCAGACAGGAGAGAAGUAGUGGGGUUUUUUGUCCUCGAUGGAAUGACUCCCUAUAAAUAACCGAUCCCUUACUGGCGAACCUGAAGGAAACCCCUGCCCCCCCCCCCACAGCACUGCAGGCCUGCUAGGCCCUCCUGCAGACGCCCCCCUCCAGCUCAGUGACACGGCAGCGUCCUCCCCUCCACGCUCGCCGGGAUUUGGUGUUCCAAGCGUCACUGUGUACAGAACCGCAACGUUGUGGAGUGGAGAUGCGGGGAUGACUGAAGAUUGGCGGUCAGACAUUGAUGCCAAUAUUCACAUGACUCAGAGAAAGGACAGGGGUGAGUCUUCGUAGCCGGGGGUGCUGGGUCGGCUCAUGGAACCUGACUCGGCCUCGCUGGGGGAGCGCUCUCCCUGGGACAGCAGGCUCCUGCUGUCAGAGCUGCCACGGCCGCCCUUGCGGUGGAUACGGGAGUGCAGCACCAUCUGGUGGCACCUCGCUGACGCAAGCGGCACACUGGAGAGCGCUCAACAGCCCUGGCUGAUUCAGCAAAUUCGAGGAGGGGCACAGCAAAGAGCCAGCGUCAGCGUGAUGUGUGUUUGUGAUGCUGGGUACCUGGCUUCCUGCUCAUGGCCCAGAACAUGAAUGUCCCUGAAGAGUGAGUAACCGCCUCCACCAUCCCACCCCGACGUGGGACCGAAUCAUCUCUGCCCAAGAGCGGCUCUCCAUAGUUAAUGCAUCACCACAUGACAGAAGAAAACACAACUGUGCCCCCAGAAAAAGGGGAAGGCUGCUCUUUCUUUCAUUACAACCUGAAAAAGACUUUAAUAACGGUUUUAAAUCAUUACACUAGGUAAACGAUAAACAUGUACUUGCAGACUGCCCAGUUUCUGCUUGAAAUCCAUCUGCACUGAAUCCAUGCUAUUCUGGUAUCAAAGCAAAUAAUUAUUUUGUCACCUUAUCUGGGCCUGAAAGCAGGAUUAACACUGGAUGCACUUAACCCAAUCAUUCAAGCAGGAUAUCAGCCCAUGGACGACAGGGCACACGAAUGCAAUCGCGCUCCCCCAGAGCUGAGGCCUCCUUUUGCACUGUGGCAGAAAGCUCCUCCGCAAAGACUCUAGGUGAACCGCUUACUCGCACCAUUCACUGCCGCCACAUCUUGCAGAAUGACCCUCUGCUGAAAAGCGGAUGAUAGCUCAAUUACGAGAGUGGAGAAAAAUCAAUCUCUCAUCAGCUUCA